rnacentral:rRNA from 1 species
GACGAACGCUGGCGGCGUGCUUAACACAUGCAAGUCGAACGGAAAGGCCCUGCUUGCAGGGUACUCGAGUGGCGAACGGGUGAGUAACACGUGGGUGAUCUGCCCUGCACUUCGGGAUAAGCCUGGGAAACUGGGUCUAAUACCGGAUAGGAGCCAUUUUUAGUGUGAUGGUUGGAAAGUUUUUUCGGUGUAGGAUGAGCUCGCGGCCUAUCAGCUUGUUGGUGGGGUAAUGGCCUACCAAGGCGGCGACGGGUAGCCGGCCUGAGAGGGUGGACGGCCACAUUGGGACUGAGAUACGGCCCAGACUCCGACGGGAGGCAGCAGUGGGGAAUAUUGCACAAUGGGCGCAAGCCUGAUGCAGCGACGCCGCGGGGGGGAGGACGGCCUUCGGGUUGUAAACUCCUUUCGCUAGGGACGAAGCUUUUUGUGACGGUACCUAGAUAAGAAGCACCGGCUAACUACGUG